AAAAACAUAGCCUUAAGAAAUAAUUUAAGGUAAGCCCUGCCCAGUGGAGAUAUUCUUAACGGCCGCAGUACCUUGACUGUGCUAAGGUAGCGUAAUCAGUUGGCUUUUAAAUGGAGUCCAGAAUGAACGGGGCCAUGGGGAGAGACUGUCUCUUUUUUGAUUAAUUUAACUUGCUUAAUAGGUGAAAAUACCUUUUUAAAGAAAAAAGACGAGAAGACCCUUAGAGCCUAACAAUAUAUUAUAAUUUAUUUGUUUUUGUUGGGGCGACAAGAAGACAAAUAAACUUAACUCUUCUUUUAUACUAAACGAUUAUAAUAUAAAAGAACAGGCUACCUUAGGGAUAACAGCAUAAUUAUUUUUAGUUUGUGACCUCGAUGUUGGACUAGGAACUUGAUGACUAGUCGUCAAUAAAGGAAAGUUCUGUUCGAACUGCUUUUCCUACGUGAUCUG
rnacentral:rRNA from 1 species